rnacentral:rRNA from 1 species
GACGAACGCUGGCGGCGUGCCUAACACAUGCAAGUCGAACGGAGUAAUUUCUUCGGAGGUUACUUAGUGGCGAACGGGUGAGUAACGCGUGAGAAACCUGCCUUUCAGUGGGGGACAACAGUUGGAAACGACUGCUAAUACCGCAUAAUGUUAUUUGGGGGCAUCCCUGAAUAACCAAAGCUUUAUGUGCUGAAAGAUGGUCUCGCGUCUAAUUAGCUGGAUGGCGGGGUAACGGCCCACCAUGGCGAAGAUCAGUAGCCGGUCUGAGAGGAUGAACGGCCACAUUGGGACUGAGAUACGGCCCAGACUCCUACGGGAGGCAGCAGUGGGGAAUAUUGGGCAAUGGGGGAAACCCUGACCCAGCAACGCCGCGUGAAGGAAGAAGGCCUUCGGGUUGUAAACUUCUUUUACCAGGGACGAAGAACGUGACGGUACCUGGAGAAAAAGCAACGGCUAACUACGUGCCAGCCGCCGCGGUAAUAC